AGCUCCAUCAGGUCACCUUCAACACCAACCAUGUUCUCUGUAGCUCUGCUGCUGCUGCUGGCUGCUGGAUCCUGUGUGAAGUGUGAACAGUUGAUACAGCCAGCCUCUGUGACAGCUACUACACAGCCUGGAUCAGACAGCCUGCAGGGAAAGGACUGGAGUGGAUAGGAAUGAAAUACACUGGAGAUUCAUACUAUAAAGAUUCACUGAAGAGCAAGUUCAGUAUCGACUUAGACUCUUCCAGCAACACAGUGACUCUGAACGGACAGAGCGUGCAGCCUGGAGACUCUGCUGUGUAUUACUGUGCCAGAGACAAACUUUGA